UCACAGAGCUUUUCUGCAGUUGAUCACAGCUGGUAUCAGUCUUCUUCUCCCUUCAGCUGAUGUGUUGUAUUUCUUCAGAUCAAACUCAUCCAGCACCUCCUCUGAUAUCUGAAGCAUGUAGGCGAUUGUUGAGCAGUGAGCAGGAGAGAGUUUCUUCUCUGAGUGUUUGUCUGAUUUCACAAACUCCUGAAUCUCUCUGGACAGAGUCUGAUCUUUCACUUCCAGCAGACAGAGGAACAGAUUGAUGGAUUGAUCAGCUGAGAG